UACGUAGGGGGCUAGCGUUGUCCGGAUUUAUUGGGCGUAAAGGGCGUGUAGGCGGCCAGGUAGGUCUGGUGUGAAAACUCGAGGCUUAACCUCGAGAUGUCAUCGGAAACCAUCUGGCUAGAGUCCGGAAGAGGAGAGUGGAAUUCCUGGUGUAGCGGUGAAAUGCGCAGAUAUCAGGAAGAACACCAAUGGCGAAAGCAGCUCUCUGGGACGGUACUGACGCUGAGACGCGAAAGCGUGGGGAGCGAACAGG
rnacentral:rRNA from 1 species